UCCGCGUGCAGGAUGAAGGCCCUCGGGUUGUAAACUGCUUUUUGUACGGAACGAAACGGUGCUCUCUAAUACAGGGCGCUAAUGACGGUACCGUAAGAAUAAGCACCGGCUAACUACGUGCCAGCAGCCGCGGUAAUACGUAGGGUGCAAGCGUUAAUCGGAAUUACUGGGCGUAAAGCGUGCGCAGGCGGUUUUGUAAGACAGGUGUGAAAUCCCCGGGCUUAACCUGGGAACUGCACUUGUGACUGCAAAGCUGGAGUGCGGCAGAGGGGGAUGGAAUUCCGCGUGUAGCAGUGAAAUGCGUAGAUAUGCGGAGGAACACCGAUGGCGAAGGCAAUCCCCUGGGCCUGCACUGACGCUCAUGCACGAAAGCGUGGGGAGCAAACAGGAUUAGAUACCCUGGUAGUCCACGCCCUAAACGAUGUCAACUGGUUGUUGGUCCUUUGCUGGAUCAGUAACGAAGCUAACGCGUGAAGUUGACCGCCUGGGGAGUACGGCCGCAAGGUUGAAAC
rnacentral:rRNA from 1 species